rnacentral:rRNA from 1 species
UAGCCGUAAACGAUACUCGCUAGGUGUCGGCCACGGUGCGACCGUUGUCGGUGCCGUAGGGAAGCCGCGAAGCGAGCCACCUGGGAAGUACGGCCGCAAGGCUGAAACUUAAAGGAAUUGGCGGGGGAGCACCACAACGGGUGGAGCUUGCGGUUUAAUUGGAUUCAACGCCGGAAAUCUUACCGGGACCGACAGCAACAUGAAGGCCAGGCUGAAGACUUUGCCGGAUUAGCUGAGAGGAGGUGCAUGGCGUAGUCGUGU